rnacentral:tRNA from 1 species
GCCUGGGUGGCUCAGUCGGUUGGGCGUCUGACUUCAGCUCAGGUCAUGAUCUCGCGGUCCGUGAGUUCGAGCCCCGCGUCGGGCU